GCCAGUGUAGUGCAAUGGUUUGAUUGUUGGACUACAACUCUGGAGACCAGGGGUCAAAUCCCUCCUCAGCCA